CGGUGUUCCAUAAAGCCACUUGUAACAUUUCCAUCUGCUGCACAUAAAAACAGCCAGGCAGACAGCCUGCUGACCAGUGGUUGUAGUGAUGAACUCUCUCAUGUUCUGAGGCUGCCCCUCCCUCCCAGCCUUCCCAGGGUAGGAAACGGACUGACCGGCAAAUAAAACUGGGGCAUACUGAAGAGGUCAGAGACCAAAGUGACCUCUAGAGCGUGAGUGAUGCACAACCCCCAUGGACUAUUCUUGUUUUAAUGACCAAAUGCAGCCACUAAAUGGUCUUCCUGGUGUCAGCUCAUGACUGAAGAGAACAGAAUAUUUCUAGAAUCUUAGAGGUGGCUAUAGCAGAAGCCUCAUCAGAGCAAGAAAAGGGAAAAAAAAUAGUUGAAUUUUCCUUUUCCCAUCACUGCAUUUGCCACUUUGUACAUAGAGGGCAGAUUCAGUUACCAGCUACCGUGUUAAGGAUUGUGAGCACUGAGCUAACACCCAGCAAACUCCUACAGGGACAGAGCCUUAAGAUAGCAUCAGACUCUCUGCGGCUAUUCCCACCAAAGGGGAGACGUUCCCUCUGGAGCCAUAGGUUAAGACCACUGGGUUGCGUCCCAAGAGCCUGCCUGAAAGGGCAAAGGAGGUCCAGCAGAAUACAACUGCCAGAGGGAUAAAAUGCACUGCUCAUGGCAGGAGGGGCCCAGCUGAGGCAAAGGUCUCCUAUGAGAGUCAGCUUGAAAGAUGUCAGGCUGUGUCAUCACCUUGCUGUCUUCUGAUGGUGCCCCCCAAGUGAGAAACUUUCUUCCAUGCCCGCACUCCCAGGCCUCCUGUCUUCUGAGGCUCCAAGCCUUUCCGGAGGUGGGGAGUCAGUAAAGGUGGCAACUCUCAGGUGGCAGAGAAGAUAUUGCCAUGGAAAUGAACAUUUAGAGAACAUUCAUAGCUCAGAAAUAAUGCUUCUGAUUCCUCUGGUGAGCUGAGGUAGCAAGACUGAACUGAAGACACUUCUUAUGUUUCAUUUCUUGGGACUUCUGACUCUUGGGGAUAAAAAAAAUAGUUCCUGCAACAGACCUAAACAUGUGUCAUCCAGCCAUCAACACAGCAAAGGCAGGGAUGUAUCCCCAACUCCUACCCCAGGGGCUUCAUAAAUGUUCUGCAAUGACUGUCAAAACCGUAACUGACCCAGAUCAGAGCCAGAAGCACAUCAAAAAUGCAGUUAAAUUUUGGAAGAAGACUUUCAAAAGACAAUACAGAAUAACAGAAGUUCAAGUGGGUGAAGGCACAGGAAAGUAGCAGGGAGUUACCAGUCCAGGGGAGGUCAUGGUGUGAACUUUCAGAUAUGAAAGCGGGAGCCUCACCAUCACCUUCUCUAUGACAUCACUCUGAUUGACCUAUAUCUACCUCACCAAGAAGCUCCUUAUACAGAGCAGUAUGUUUUUGCAAAAACAAAAGCAAGCAAACAAAAAACAAGUAGUUCAAGCAGGAAGUUAGUUUUGACCUUAGAGGAGAUAAGUAGAGGAAUGCAGAGGAGAUAAAGCAACAAUUAUCAGUCAGUCCUAACACUGUAUCCUUUAUUAACACCUAGGACAUUACUGGCAAUGAUGUUAAAUAAGAAGUGAAACAUUAGCUGAGUAUUUCAUCCAGUUUCAUAUAGACUAAAAUUUCAAGGCUGCUCACAGACCAGAAAACAAUAAUAAAGUACAAAUCUCCUUUAUCCCUCAAAAUAUCAUUUUGUCAGUUCUUAAUUUUAAAAGCAUCUUUGUUUAUUCAUGCUCUUAAUAAAUUUUGUCAGGAUAAAGUCCUCACUCCACAAAGUGUAGUAUUAUGAAUGGAAAGCUUCACCAUCACGUAGGAGUUCUGCUGGGAAUUUCUGCUUUUGAUUCUAUAUUUCUCUUCAUGGUGUGUGUACUCUUGCUCUGUGUAGCUCUGUCUGUCUCCUUAGAUAAAUAGUUUCUCAUUUUUGCUUCUCUCUUGCUUUUCUCUUUCCCAAUAUAAUCCCC